rfam:Stegodyphus mimosarum contig79328, whole genome shotgun sequence.
GUUUUCGUGAUGUAGUGGUGAGCACGCUCGGCUCCUAUUCGAGAGGUCCGGGGUUCGAGUCCCGGCGAGGGUA